rnacentral:rRNA from 1 species
UACGAAGGGGGCUAGCGUUGCUCGGAAUUACUGGGCGUAAAGGGCGCGUAGGCGGCCUGCUAAGUCGAACGUGAAAUCCCCGAGCUCAACUCGGGAACUGCGUCCGAUACUGGCAGGCUUGAAUCCGGGAGAGGGAUGCGGAAUUCCAGGUGUAGCGGUGAAAUGCGUAGAUAUCUGGAGGAACACCGGUGGCGAAGGCGGCAUCCUGGACCGGCACUGACGCUGAGGCGCGAAAGCCAGGGGAGCAAACGGG